AACGCAUAUUGCGCCUCCCUUAACCGGGAGGCAUGCCUGUCUGAGCGUCAUUUAAACCUAUGGACCCGAAUGGGUUCCGUGUUGGGCCUCGCCUCUCUGAGCGGCGUCGCCUUGAAAGUAUGGGCCUUAUGGAGCGGAUGAGAUCCUUAUGGACUGACCGUUUCAGGGCUGGAGUUUAACUCUGAAUUGGCCUCAGAUCAGGUAGGGAUACCGCCUGAACUUAA
rnacentral:misc_RNA from 1 species